GAUGAACGCUGGCGGCGUGCCUAAUACAUGCAAGUCGAGCGAACGGACGAGAAGCUUGCUUCUCUGAUGUUAGCGGCGGACGGGUUAGUAACACGUGGAUAACCUACCUAUAAGACUGGGAUAACUUCGGGAAACCGGAGCUAAUCCCGGAUAAUAUUUUGAACCGCAUGGUUCAAAAGUGAAAUACGGUCUUGCUGUCACUUAUAGAUGGAUCCGCGCUUCAUUAGCUAGUUGGUAAGGUAACGGCUUACCAAGGCAACGAUGCAUAGCCGACCUGAGAGGGUGAUCGGCCACACUGGAACUGAGACACGGUCCAGACUCCUACGGGAGGCAGCAGUAGGGAAUCUUCCGCAAUGGGCGAAAGCCUGACGGAGCAACGCCGCGUGAGUGAUGAAGGUCUUCGGAUCGUAAAACUCUGUUAUUAGGGAAGAACAUAUGUGUAAGUAACUGUGCACAUCUUGACGGUACCUAAUCAGAAAGCCACGGCUAACUACGUG
rnacentral:rRNA from 1 species